rnacentral:rRNA from 1 species
UACGGAAGGCAGCAGUGGGGAAUAUUGCACAAUGGGCGCAAGCCUGAUGCAGCCAUGCCGCGUGUAUGAAGAAGGCCUUCGGGUUGUAAAGUACUUUCAGUCGUGAGGAAGGUGUUAAGGUUAAUAACCUUAGCAAUUGACGUUAGCGACAGAAGAAGCACCGGCUAACUCCGUGCCAGCAGCCGCGGUAAUACGGAGGGUGCGAGCGUUAAUCGGAAUUACUGGGCGUAAAGGGCACGCAGGCGGUUAAUUAAGUUGGAUGUGAAAUCCCCGGGCUUAACCUGGGAAUGGCAUUCAAGCUGGUUAGCUAGAGUCUUGUAGAGGGGGUAGAAUUCCAUGUGUAGCGGUGAAAUGCGUAGAGAUGUGGAGGAAUACCGGUGGCGAAGGCGGCCCCUGGACAAAGAACUGACGCUCA